CGAGAAGCUAAAGAAUAGUCAGCAAACAAGAUGGCACCGUGGGAGGAGGAUCUGCCAGCUGCAAUGACAUGGCACUAGAAAAAAAGGUAAGUAAAACAUUUUUUUCUUUUUUAUUUAAGUUGGGGGGGGGUCGAGGACUAGAGUAAAAGACUUAUGAAUCUAAAUAGAGACUAGAAUACUAUAACACAUGGAUAGGCAACCUUCUGCACUCCAGAUGUUGUGGACUACAUCUCCCACAAUGCUCUUGCAGCCAUAGUGCUGGCAAAGCAUCAUGGGAGAUGUAGUUCAAAACAUCUGCAGUGCCGACGGUUGCCUAUCCCUGUGCUAUAGCAUCAAGAAUACAUAUUUAUAUUCCUAACACUAUAGUGUUCCUUCAGUGUUUCAACAGGAUGGAUGGUAAAGUUAUGGGGAAAUGGGGGAUAAAUGGAGUACAUUUUUUAAAUAAAGUCUUGGCCCUAUACAGAAAUAUACCGUAAAUGCUAGAGUGUAGCAUGGCAAGCAUAGAAGAAGCACAUUGGGAAAGGAUCACCUUCCUGUAGGUAACUAAUAAUGGGUGUAUACAUUUAAAAAAAACAAAAAAAAUUCUAAACCUAUUCUGUCUACCCUCCAUCAGAAAUCUAAAUAGGGGCCUUUUGGAUGUUAAGCUAAAUCUGAGGACCACCUCAUGAUGAAUAUUUUUAGAUCACCUAUGCUGUCUGAGGAAUACUGCGCAGGAGGCGAAUCCUUUUAUCGGAUCUCUCUACAUUACAUAAUUUAAUUAAUUGGCAUUCCAAUUGCUCUUCUUUGUUUUGUAGCACUUAUGGAAGAAGAAUUUGGUAGAACUUUCACUGAGUCUGUGGUCAUAAAUCAAGAUACUUAAAACUUUAUCUCCAUGGUAUCUCACUCUACAGUAUCUUCCUGGAGAUACCGGGGGAAGGG